CUCUUUAAGAGUUGAAUUUAACUCUCUGUCAGAUAACAUUUGGUCCCACUCAAAAUCAGUGUAAAAUUUACUCUAUAGCCAGUGUAAGAUUUUUAGAGUUAAUUUUACUCUAUUUUGUGUCAAAAUUAACAAUGAUCAUCACCCUGCAGAGUAGAUUUUGUCGUUGUGUGCAAGUGGGAAUUAACUCUCACUUUUGACACUACCAUUUAGACGAUUUUACUCUGCAUAGUGUUAUAACUACUCUAUCCAGAGGAAAAUAGGUUUACAUUGCAAUAUUGACACUCCAUUUUUUACUGUGCAGAUGCUAAGAGAAGCACAACACUACAAUAAGGGACUUUCCAAACACGCGAUAUUAAACUAUGAAGUGGAACAUGAAGUCAGCUUUUUUUGGUGCAUGUGUCUUCACAUACAUUCACAUAAGGAAGAAGCAAAUGAUAUUUCAUGUCUGUUUGUCUGAAAACCUCAGUUUAUUUUCAUAUUUUUCAUCAUAAUUUAUUCUACGUAGGAGAAAGGCAUGAUCGUGAUGCAGCACCAGAGGGAUCAGAAAAGUCAGAAGAAGGUGUUGGACUUUCAGUGGUGGAGACUGAACCAGCAGGGACCCAAAGCUCAGUGUGUCCUUUCUUCUCCACAGAUCCAUGAGACACCUCCUCGGUUAUGAAACGGAUCCCGAUCCUGAUACCACUCCAGGAAGCAUGGCAACUGAAAUAUAUUUUCAUACUUGUGUGGAUUGUCUGGAAUCGG